rnacentral:tRNA from 1 species
AAGAUUUUAAGUUAAAUAAACUAUGAACCUUCAAAGUUUAAAAUGUAAAGGUCAAGUCUUG